rnacentral:lncRNA from 1 species
UUUAGUUUAUAGAAAAUGAGAGAAAGAUAGAAGAGAUUUUGAAAGAAGGCUCAAAUUAAAACUAUUCUAAACAGAAGAGGAGUACUUAGGUAUAAUUUUUUCUUAUUUAAAUAAAUUUUAUUUUACCUAUAUAUUUUAUGUUUGAUUUUUUUUUUCUUUUGUGAUUUUAUCAGUUUUUACUGAGAGUACGGAUUUAUGGUAAAAAUUCAAAUUGACGCAUCCGUUGUGAAAUUUCAAUAAACAAUAUCUAAUUUAUAGUAGUCGGUAUUAUAGCGGGUUGUAAAAUCUC